CCACCACUCUAGCCUCAUGGCUUAGAUCAAGUGUAGUAUCUGUUCUUAAAAGUUUAACCACUUUUACGAGUCUCCGGACUCUUUUAUGGUUUACUUAUUUUUGAAUUCCCAGUGGUGUGGUACUCUGCUUGCAUGGCCCACUGCGAGAUGACCUCGCUAUUGCACAAGCGGCGAGUGUUGUCAGGGUCU
rnacentral:snRNA from 1 species